GCAAUGCCGCGUGAGUGAAGAAGGCCUUCGGGUUGUAAAGCUCUUUUGUCAGGGAAGAAACGGUGAGAGCUAAUAUCUCUUGCUAAUGACGGUACCUGAAGAAUAAGCACCGGCUAACUACGUGCCAGCAGCCGCGGUAAUACGUAGGGUGCAAGCGUUAAUCGGAAUUACUGGGCGUAAAGCGUGCGCAGGCGGUUUUGUAAGACUGUCGUGAAAUCCCCGGGCUCAACCUGGGAAUGGCGAUGGUGACUGCAAGGCUAGAGUUUGGCAGAGGGGGGUAGAAUUCCACGUGUAGCAGUGAAAUGCGUAGAUAUGUGGAGGAACACCGAUGGCGAAGGCAGCCCCCUGGGUCAAAACUGACGCUCAUGCACGAAAGCGUGGGGAGCAAACAGGAUUAGAUACCCUGGUAGUCCACGCCCUAAACGAUGUCUACUAGUUGUCGGGUCUUAAUUGACUUGGUAACGCAGCUAA
rnacentral:rRNA from 1 species